AGGAAUCUGCCUGGUAGUGGGGGACAACGUUUCGAAAGGAACGCUAAUACCGCAUACGUCCUACGGGAGAAAGCAGGGGACCUUCGGGCCUUGCGCUAUCAGAUGAGCCUAGGUCGGAUUAGCUAGUUGGUGGGGUAAUGGCUCACCAAGGCGACGAUCCGUAGCUGGUCUGAGAGGAUGAUCAGCCACACUGGAACUGAGACACGGUCCAGACUCCUACGGGAGGCAGCAGUGGGGAAUAUUGGACAAUGGGCGCAAGCCUGAUCCAGCCAUACCGCGUGGGUGAAGAAGGCCUUCGGGUUGUAAAGCCCUUUUGUUGGGAAAGAAAAGCAGCGGGCUAAUACCUUGCUGUUCUGACGGUACCCAAAGAAUAAGCACCGGCUAACUUCGUGCCAGCAGCCGCGGUAAUGCGAAGGGUGCAAGCGUUACUCGGAAUUACUGGGCGUAAAGCGUGCGUAGGUGGUCGUUUAAGUCUGUUGUGAAAGCCCUGGGCUCAACCUGGGAACUGCAGUGGAAACUGGACGACUAGAGUGUGGUAGAGGGUAGCGGAAUUCCCGGU
rnacentral:rRNA from 1 species